GCCUACCAUGGUGGUAACGGGUAACGGGGAAUUAGGGUUCGAUUCCGGAGAGGGAGCCUGAGAAACGGCUACCACAUCCAAGGAUGGCAGCAGGCGCGCAAAUUACCCAAUCCCGACACGGGGAGGUAGUGACAAUAAAUAACAAUACGGGGUUCUUUAGGAUCUCGUAAUUGGAAUGAGUACAAUUUAAAUCUCUUAACGAGGAACAAUUGGAGGGCAAGUCUGGUGCCAGCAGCCGCGGUAAUUCCAGCUCCAAUAGCGUAUAUUAAAGUUGUUGCAGUUAAAAAACUCGUAGUUGAAUUUCGGGGUCAGUAGGUCGGUCGUGCCACUGGUAUGAACUGGUUUUACUGAUUCCUCCCUCUUGAAGAACUGUAAUGCCAUUAAUUUGGUGUUGCAGGGAAUCAGGACUGUUACUUUGAAAAAAUUAGAGUGUUUAAAGCAGGCUUUAGCUUGAAUACAUUAGCAUGGAAUAAUGAAAUAGGACGUUUGAUCCUAUUUUGUUGGUUUCUAGGAUUGACGUAAUGAUUAAUAGGGAUAGUUGGGGGCAUUAGUAUUCAAUUGUCAGAGGUGAAAUUCUUGGAUUUAUUGAAGACUAACUACUGCGAAAGCAUUUGCCAAGGAUGUUUUCAUUAAUCAAGAACGAAAGUUAGGGGAUCGAAGACGAUCAGAUACCGUCGUA
rnacentral:rRNA from 1 species